UGGGGAAUUUUGCACAAUGGGCGCAAGCCUGAUGCAGCGACGCCGCGUGAGGGAUGAAGGCCUUCGGGUUGUAAACCUUUUUCGCUCAUGGUCAAGCCGCAGCUUUGGGUUGUGGUGAGGGUAGUGGGUAAAGAAGCGCCGGCUAACUACGUGCCAGCAGCCGCGGUAAUACGUAGGGCGCGAGCGUUGUCCGGAAUUAUUGGGCGUAAAGGGCUUGUAGGCGGUUGGCCGCGUCUGCCGUGAAAUCCUCUGGCUUAACUGGGGGCGUGCGGUGGGUACGGGUUGACUUGAGUGCGGUAGGGGAGACUGGAAUUCCUGGUGUAGCGGUGAAAUGCGCAGAGAUAUGGAGGAACACCAGUGGCGAAGGCGACUUUCUGGUCUGUAACUGACGCUGAUGUGCGAAAGCGUGGGGAUCAAACAGG
rnacentral:rRNA from 1 species